CAGAGCUUAACAACUCCCAAACCCCUGUGAACAUACCACUGUUGCUUCGGCGGGCACGCCCCGGGCGCUCAUCGCGUGCCCCGGAACCAGGCGCCCGCCGGGGGAAAACAAACUCUUGUCUUACUUUGCAUGUCUGAGUGGAAUCAUAAACAAAUGAAUCA
rnacentral:misc_RNA from 1 species